rnacentral:rRNA from 1 species
GGAACUAAGACACGGUCCAGACACCUACGGGUGGCAGCAGUCGAGAAUUUUUCUCAAUGGGGGCAACCCUGAAGGAGCGACGCCGCGUGGAGGAUGAAGGUCUUCGGAUUGUAAACUCCUGUCAUUUGGGAACAAAUACCUGAUUUAACUGAUUAGGAACUGAUAGUACCAGAAGAGGAAGAGACGGCUAACUCUGUGCCAGCAGCCGCGGUAAUACAGAGGUCUCAACCGUUGUUCGGAUUCAUUGGGCGUAAAGGGUGCGUAGGCGGUCGCGCAAGUCGGAUGUGAAAUCUUAGGGCUCAACCCUGAAACUGCAUUCGAUACUGCGUGGCUCGAGUACUGGAGAGGAGACUGGAAUUUACGGUGUAGCAGUGAAAUGCGUAGAUAUCGUAAGGAAGACCAGUGGCGAAGGCGAGUCUCUGGACAGUUACUGACGCUGAGGCACGAAGGCCAGGGGAGCAAACGGGAUUAGAUACCCCGGUAGUCCUGGCAGUAAACGGUGUACGUUUGGUGUAGGCGGAUUCGACCCCGCCUGUGCCGGAGCUAACGCGUUAAACGUACCGCCUGGGAAGUACGGUCGCAAGAUUAAAACUCAAAGAAAUUGACGGGGGCCCGCACAAGCGGUGGAGUAUGUGGCUUAAUUCGAUGCUACGCGAAGAACCUUACCAGGGUUUGACAUGUAUCUCUAAGUCGGUGAAAGCCGGCGAGUUGUAGCAAUACAACAAUUUACACAGGUGCUGCAUGGCUGUCGUCAGCUCGUGUCGUGAGAUGUUGGGUUAAGUCCCGCAACGAGCGCAACCCUUGUGUCCUGUUGCCACUCCUUAAAUGGAAGCACUCUGGACAGACUGCCCUGUGAAACGGGGAGGAAGGUGAGGAUGACGUCAAGUCAGCAUGGCCCUUACACCCUGGGCUGCACACGUACUACAAUGCUCAGUACAAUAUGAGCCGAAACCGCGAGGUGGAGGAAAUCGAUAAAACUGAGCCCAAUUCGGAUCGCAGGCUGCAACUCGCCUGCGUGAAGCCGGAAUCGCUAGUAAUGCCGUAUCAGCUACGACGGCGUGAAUACGUUCCCGGGCCUUGUACACACCGCCCGUCACAUCAUGGGAGUCGUUUGCACCCGAAGUACACCAUUGGUGUCCUACGGUAUGAGCGGUAACUGGGAUGAAGUCGGAACAAGGUAGCCGUAGGGGAACCUGCGGCUG